GAUGAACGCUGGCGGCGUGCCUAACACAUGCAAGUCGAGCGGUAUAUACCGGAAUGAAACUUCGGUCGAGUGAAGGUAUAGAGAGCGGCGGACGGGUGAGUAACGCGUAGGCAACCUGCCCCGUACAGAGGGAUAGCCUCGGGAAACCGGGAUUAAAACCUCAUAAUGCGAGAGAUUCUCAUGGAUUUUUCGCCAAAGAUUUAUCGGUAUGGGAUGGGCCUGCGUCUGAUUAGCUAGUUGGUGGGUAACGGCCUACCAAGGCAACGAUCAGUAGCCGGCCUGAGAGGGUGGACGGCCACACUGGGACUGAGACACGGCCCAGACU
rnacentral:rRNA from 1 species